rnacentral:rRNA from 1 species
GGUAUAGACCCGAAACCCGGUGAUCUAGCCAUGGGCAGGUUGAAGGUUGGGUAACACUAACUGGAGGACCGAACCGACUAAUGUUGAAAAAUUAGCGGAUGACUUGUGGCUGGGGGUGAAAGGCCAAUCAAACCGGGAGAUAGCUGGUUCUCCCCGAAAGCUAUUUAGGUAGCGCCUCGUGAAUUCAUCUCCGGGGGUAGAGCACUGUUUCGGCAAGGGGGUCAUCCCGACUUACCAACCCGAUGCAAACUGCGAAUACCGGAGAAUGUUAUCACGGGAGACACACGGCGGGUGCUAACGUCCGUCGUGAAGAGGGAAACAACCCAGACCGCCAGCUAAGGUCCCAAAGUCAUGGUUAAGUGGGAAACGAUGUGGGAAGGCCCAGACAGCCAGGAUGUUGGCUUAGAAGCAGCCAUCAUUUAAAGAAAGCGUAAUAGCUCACUGGUCGAGUCGGCCUGCGCGGAAGAUGUAACGGGGCUAAACCAUGCACCGAAGCUGCGGCAGCGACGCUUAUGCGUUGUUGGGUAGGGGAGCGUUCUGUAAGCCUGCGAAGGUGUGCUGUGAGGCAUGCUGGAGGUAUCAGAAGUGCGAAUGCUGACAUAAGUAACGAUAAAGCGGGUGAAAAGCCCGCUCGCCGGAAGACCAAGGGUUCCUGUCCAACGUUAAUCGGGGCAGGGUGAGUCGACCCCUAAGGCGAGGCCGAAAGGCGUAGUCGAUGGGAAACAGGUUAAUAUUCCUGUACUUGGUGUUACUGCGAAGGGGGGACGGAGAAGGCUAUGUUGGCCGGGCGACGGUUGUCCCGGUUUAAGCGUGUAGGCUGGUUUUCCAGGCAAAUCCGGAAAAUCAAGGCUGAGGCGUGAUGACGAGGCACUACGGUGCUGAAGCAACAAAUGCCCUGCUUCCAGGAAAAGCCUCUAAGCAUCAGGUAACAUCAAAUCGUACCCCAAACCGACACAGGUGGUCAGGUAGAGAAUACCAAGGCGCUUGAGAGAACUCGGGUGAAGGAACUAGGCAAAAUGGUGCCGUAACUUCGGGAGAAGGCACGCUGAUAUGUAGGUGAAGUCCCUCGCGGAUGGAGCUGAAAUCAGUCGAAGAUACCAGCUGGCUGCAACUGUUUAUUAAAAACACAGCACUGUGCAAACACGAAAGUGGACGUAUACGGUGUGACGCCUGCCCGGUGCCGGAAGGUUAAUUGAUGGGGUUAGCGCAAGCGAAGCUCUUGAUCGAAGCCCCGGUAAACGGCGGCCGUAACUAUAACGGUCCUAAGGUAGCGAAAUUCCUUGUCGGGUAAGUUCCGACCUGCACGAAUGGCGUAAUGAUGGCCAGGCUGUCUCCACCCGAGACUCAGUGAAAUUGAACUCGCUGUGAAGAUGCAGUGUACCCGCGGCAAGACGGAAAGACCCCGUGAACCUUUACUAUAGCUUGACACUGAACAUUGAGCCUUGAUGUGUAGGAUAGGUGGGAGGCUUUGAAGUGUGGACGCCAGUCUGCAUGGAGCCGACCUUGAAAUACCACCCUUUAAUGUUUGAUGUUCUAACGUUGACCCGUGAUCCGGGUUGCGGACAGUGUCUGGUGGGUAGUUUGACUGGGGCGGUCUCCUCCUAAAGAGUAACGGAGGAGCACGAAGGUUGGCUAAUCCUGGUCGGACAUCAGGAGGUUAGUGCAAUGGCAUAAGCCAGCUUGACUGCGAGCGUGACGGCGCGAGCAGGUGCGAAAGCAGGUCAUAGUGAUCCGGUGGUUCUGAAUGGAAGGGCCAUCGCUCAACGGAUAAAAGGUACUCCGGGGAUAACAGGCUGAUACCGCCCAAGAGUUCAUAUCGACGGCGGUGUUUGGCACCUCGAUGUCGGCUCAUCACAUCCUGGGGCUGAAGUAGGUCCCAAGGGUAUGGCUGUUCGCCAUUUAAAGUGGUACGCGAGCUGGGUUUAGAACGUCGUGAGACAGUUCGGUCCCUAUCUGCCGUGGGCGCUGGAGAACUGAGGGGGGCUGCUCCUAGUACGAGAGGACCGGAGUGGACGCAUCACUGGUGUUCGGGUUGUCAUGCCAAUGGCACUGCCCGGUAGCUAAAUGCGGAAGAGAUAAGUGCUGAAAGCAUCUAAGCACGAAACUUGCCCCGAGAUGAGUUCUCCCUGACUCCUUGAGAGUCCUGAAGGAACGUUGAAGACGACGACGUUGAUAGGCCGGGUGUGUAAGCGCAGCGAUGCGUUGAGCUAACCGGUACUAAUGAACCGUGAGGCUUAACCUU